AAACAAACUCUACACAGCGUACAAAUUCGUAAUUUUUUUUUAAAGUUCCGUCGUAUUCGAUCGGUGGAUUUAAGUUGAAUCUUAUAAAAACGUAAAUGUAGUAAACUAAAAUUUAUUCUGUUUUUAUUUCGAUUUCUCUUUUCCGGUUCGAUUUGGUUUACCCCGAUUCGUAGGAAUUGGACAAAUUGGGACGACGACAAUUUUAAAGAGGAACAGCUUUCGACGCCAUCGAAGCUUCCUAUAGAUGAUGCCUCUUCUUCUUCUUCUUCUUCUUCUUCAUCUUCUUCUUGCUUUGUUGCUUCUUCUUCUUCUUCUUCUUCUUCUUGCUUUGUUGCUUCUUCUUCUUCUUCUUCUCUACCACAUCUUUUUAGGAGAGGAGGACCGCAAAGCCCGGGAUUCUCUGCAAAAGAAGAACUGUUCAAGCCUGCUGUAGGAGAAGUUCAUCCACUCUAGUGUUUCGAGAAAUUUCUCAUUUAAUUUGUUUUUUUUUUUUAAUUUUCUUAUAAUUCUCCUUUUAUAUUUUUUAAUAUUAUUACAUACUACAAAAUCUCGAUAAAAUAACAAAAAUUCCAAGAGGCAAAAGAUUCGUAGGCAUCUAGGACAAAUUGAUUGAUGACGAGGAAGAUUUUACAGAGGAACAGCUUUCGACGCUAUCGAAGCUUCCUGUAAAUGAUCCCACUUCUUCUUCUUCUUCUUCUUCUUACGACAGUACGGGCUACGACCUACGUGCUCCGGCCAUGACCACCAGGAUCCAUUUCAAAAUCUCUCGUUGCCGUCCCGAGUGAUCAAAGUUCAUGUUGGACGCCACGGAUAUGCUCACACGUAGACUUGGCGGAGAUUUGAAAAAAAAUGCUCCGCUAACUGAGAGACUUGUUUGCAAAAAGGUCGAGAAGGAUAAGCUGUUAGAAUUAGAGUCUUAAGAGAAUUGCGUAGGAAAAUAAAGAGUAUGUAUGAAGGGUAACUUAGAAAAAGAUCUUGAAUGAUCGUAUGAAUCGUAAAAGGCAAUAGAGAGUUUCUCUUGUUGAGUGGUUAUGUUGUAGAGGAUCCACAACCUCUGUUCAUGACAGAACCAUCCCCACCUGACACAUGUUCAUUCAUCUGACAUGUCUGCAUCAGUUUCAGAUCGACUGAUUAGCGAAGGUCAUACGGACGUUCCAUUAUAAAGAUUUCAGCGCCAGGGAGAAGAAAAGUAGAAAAGAUUAGUAACUCUUAGCCUAUGAAGUGAGAAUAUAGGCGAUGGUGAGUCCACAGAACAAACCAGGAGAGGAGUACCGCAAAGCCCGGGAUUGUCUGUGAAAGAAGAACUGCUCUGGCUCUGAAUCUGAGUGCCUUGUGGUAUUGGGCCUUCAAGGAUGUUGUUUGAGAAGUUCAUCCACUCUAGAAACGGCAGUCGCACUUGCACCUAUUGUUGAUAGAGGAUUGUCGUGGUUUACAGUAAAAUGCAAGUUUGAAAGUCAGGGAAAAGUGAGGGCACCAG